UAAUAGCCCGGAUUGCAGUGAAAAUCCUUUUUUUAAUACCGUAGUGCCAACGAAGGAAUUUAAAAAAGAUUGCAACGUAAAGCCGGAAAUAGC
rnacentral:sRNA from 10 species